GGAGGUAUAGCUUGGUGGUAGAGCACGUGCUUGGUGUGCAUGGGAUCCUGGUUUCAAUCCCCAGUGCCUCUG
rnacentral:tRNA from 1 species